rnacentral:rRNA from 1 species
AUUGAACGCUGGCGGCAUGCUUUACACAUGCAAGUCGAACGGUAACAGGCCGCAAGGUGCUGACGAGUGGCGAACGGGUGAGUAAUGCAUAGGAACGUGCCUAGUAGUGGGGGAUAACUACUCGAAAGAGUGGAUAAUACCGAAUGAGAUCUACGGAUGAAAGCAGGGGAUCGCAAGAACUUGUGCUACUAGAGCGGCCGAUGGCAGAUUAGGUAGUUGGUGGGCUAAAAGCUUACCAAGCCGACGAUCUGUAGCGGGUCUGAGAGGACGAUCAGCCACACUGGGACUGAGACACGGCCCAGACUCCUACGGGAGGCAGCAGUGGGGAAUUUUGGACAAUGGGCGCAAGCCUGAUCCAGCAAUGCCGCGUGAAUGAUGAAGGCCUUCGGGUUGUAAACUGCUUUUGUACGGAACGAAAAGCCCUGGGUUAAUACCCUGGGGUCAUGACGGUACCGUAAGAAUAAGCACCGGCUAACUACGUGCCAGCCGCCGCAGUAACAC